rnacentral:rRNA from 1 species
AGUUUGAUCCUGGCUCAGAUUGAACGCUGGCGGCAGGCUUAACACAUGCAAGUCGAGCGGAGUUGUGGUGCUUGCACCAUAACUUAGCGGCGGACGGGUGAGUAAUGCUUAGGAAUCUGCCUAUUAGUGGGGGACAACAUCUCGAAAGGGAUGCUAAUACCGCAUACGCCCUACGGGGGAAAGCAGGGGAUCUUCGGACCUUGCGCUAAUAGAUGAGCCUAAGUCGGAUUAGCUAGCUGGUGGGGUAAAGGCCUACCAAGGCGACGAUCUGUAGCGGGUCUGAGAGGAUGAUCCGCCACACUGGGACUGAGACACGGCCCAGACUCCUACGGGAGGCAGCAGUGGGGAAUAUUGGACAAUGGGGGGAACCCUGAUCCAGCCAUGCCGCGUGUGUGAAGAAGGCCUUUUGGUUGUAAAGCACUUUAAGCGAGGAGGAGGCUCCCAGUAUUAAUACUACUGGAGAGUGGACGUUACUCGCAGAAUAAGCACCGGCUAACUCUGUGCCAGCAGCCGCGGUAAUACAGAGGGUGCAAGCGUUAAUCGGAUUUACUGGGCGUAAAGCGUGCGUAGGUGGCCAAUUAAGUCAAAUGUGAAAUCCCCGAGCUUAACUUGGGAAUUGCAUUCGAUACUGGUUGGCUAGAGUAUGGGAGAGGAUGGUAGAAUUCCAGUGUAGCGGUGAAAUGCGUAGAGAUCUGGAGGAAUACCGAUGGCGAAGCAGCCAUCUGGGCCUAAUACUGACACUGAGGUACGAAAGCAUGGGGAGCAAACAGGAUUAGAUACCCUGGUAGUCCAUGCCGUAAACGAUGUCUACUAGC